CUUCAACGACCCCACCCACAAGGGGCGUUCGGGGCUCCUUUCCUCACCGUACGCGUGCAGCAGAGCCUGUGCCUC
rfam:Streptomyces sp. Mg1, complete genome.